rnacentral:tRNA from 2 species
GUCCUUGUAGUAUAACUAUUACCUUGGUCUUGUAAACCAAAAAUGAAGCAUAAACCCUUCCUAGGACA